rnacentral:rRNA from 1 species
GGUUAAGCGACUAAGCGUACACGGUGGAUGCCCUGGCAGUCAGAGGCGAUGAAGGACGUGCUAAUCUGCGAUAAGCGUCGGUAAGGUGAUAUGAACCGUUAUAACCGGCGAUUUCCGAAUGGGGAAACCCAGUGUGAUUCGUCACACUAUCAUUAACUGAAUCCAUAGGUUAAUGAGGCGAACCGGGGGAACUGAAACAUCUAAGUACCCCGAGGAAAAGAAAUCAACCGAGAUUCCCCCAGUAGCGGCGAGCGAACGGGGAGCAGCCCAGAGCCUGAAUCAGUGUGUGUGUUAGUGGAAGCGUCUGGAAAGGCGCGCGAUACAGGGUGACAGCCCCGUACACAAAAAUGCACAUACUGUGAGCUCGAUGAGUAGGGCGGGACACGUGGUAUCCUGUCUGAAUAUGGGGGGACCAUCCUCCAAGGCUAAAUACUCCUGACUGACCGAUAGUGAACCAGUACCGUGAGGGAAAGGCGAAAAGAACCCCGGCGAGGGGAGUGAAAAAGAACCUGAAACCGUGUACGUACAAGCAGUGGGAGCCUCUUUUAUGGGGUGACUGCGUACCUUUUGUAUAAUGGGUCAGCGACUUAUAUUCUGUAGCAAGGUUAACCGAAUAGGGGAGCCGAAGGGAAACCGAGUCUUAACCGGGCGUUAAGUUGCAGGGUAUAGACCCGAAACCCGGUGAUCUAGCCAUGGGCAGGUUGAAGGUUGGGUAACACUAACUGGAGGACCGAACCGACUAAUGUUGAAAAAUUAGCGGAUGACUUGUGGCUGGGGGUGAAAGGCCAAUCAAACCGGGAGAUAGCUGGUUCUCCCCGAAAGCUAUUUAGGUAGCGCCUCGUGAAUUCAUCUCCGGGGGUAGAGCACUGUUUCGGCAAGGGGGUCAUCCCGACUUACCAACCCGAUGCAAACUGCGAAUACCGGAGAAUGUUAUCACGGGAGACACACGGCGGGUGCUAACGUCCGUCGUGAAGAGGGAAACAACCCAGACCGCCAGCUAAGGUCCCAAAGUCAUGGUUAAGUGGGAAACGAUGUGGGAAGGCCCAGACAGCCAGGAUGUUGGCUUAGAAGCAGCCAUCAUUUAAAGAAAGCGUAAUAGCUCACUGGUCGAGUCGGCCUGCGCGGAAGAUGUAACGGGGCUAAACCAUGCACCGAAGCUGCGGCAGCGACACUGUGUGUUGUUGGGUAGGGGAGCGUUCUGUAAGCCUGUGAAGGUGUACUGUGAGGUAUGCUGGAGGUAUCAGAAGUGCGAAUGCUGACAUAAGUAACGAUAAAGCGGGUGAAAAGCCCGCUCGCCGGAAGACCAAGGGUUCCUGUCCAACGUUAAUCGGGGCAGGGUGAGUCGACCCCUAAGGCGAGGCCGAAAGGCGUAGUCGAUGGGAAACAGGUUAAUAUUCCUGUACUUGGUGUUACUGCGAAGGGGGGGACGGAGAAGGCUAUGUUGGCCGGGCGACGGUUGUCCCGGUUUAAGCGUGUAGGCUGGUUUUCCGAGGCAAAUCCGGAAAAUCAAGGCUGAGGCGUGAUGACGAGGCACUACGGUGCUGAAGCAACAAAUGCCCUGCUUCCAGGAAAAGCCUCUAAGCAUCAGGUAACAUCAAAUCGUACCCCAAACCGACACAGGUGGUCAGGUAGAGAAUACCAAGGCGCUUGAGAGAACUCGGGUGAAGGAACUAGGCAAAAUGGUGCCGUAACUUCGGGAGAAGGCACGCUGAUAUGUAGGUGAAGUCCCUCGCGGAUGGAGCUGAAAUCAGUCGAAGAUACCAGCUGGCUGCAACUGUUUAUUAAAAACACAGCACUGUGCAAACACGAAAGUGGACGUAUACGGUGUGACGCCUGCCCGGUGCCGGAAGGUUAAUUGAUGGGGUCAGCGCAAGCGAAGCUCUUGAUCGAAGCCCCGGUAAACGGCGGCCGUAACUAUAACGGUCCUAAGGUAGCGAAAUUCCUUGUCGGGUAAGUUCCGACCUGCACGAAUGGCGUAAUGAUGGCCAGGCUGUCUCCACCCGAGACUCAGUGAAAUUGAACUCGCUGUGAAGAUGCAGUGUACCCGCGGCAAGACGGAAAGACCCCGUGAACCUUUACUAUAGCUUGACACUGAACAUUGAGCCUUGAUGUGUAGGAUAGGUGGGGAGGCUUUGAAGUGUGGACGCCAGUCUGCAUGGAGCCGACCUUGAAAUACCACCCUUUAAUGUUUGAUGUUCUAACGUGGACCCGUGAUCCGGGUUGCGGACAGUGUCUGGUGGGUAGUUUGACUGGGGCGGUCUCCUCCUAAAGAGUAACGGAGGAGCACGAAGGUUGGCUAAUCCUGGUCGGACAUCAGGAGGUUAGUGCAAUGGCAUAAGCCAGCUUGACUGCGAGCGUGACGGCGCGAGCAGGUGCGAAAGCAGGUCAUAGUGAUCCGGUGGUUCUGAAUGGAAGGGCCAUCGCUCAACGGAUAAAAAGGUACUCCGGGGAUAACAGGCUGAUACCGCCCAAGAGUUCAUAUCGACGGCGGUGUUUGGCACCUCGAUGUCGGCUCAUCACAUCCUGGGGCUGAAGUAGGUCCCAAGGGUAUGGCUGUUCGCCAUUUAAAGUGGUACGCGAGCUGGGUUUAGAACGUCGUGAGACAGUUCGGUCCCUAUCUGCCGUGGGCGCUGGAGAACUGAGGGGGCUGCUCCUAGUACGAGAGGACCGGAGUGGACGCAUCACUGGUGUUCGGGUUGUCAUGCCAAUGGCACUGCCCGGUAGCUAAAUGCGGAAGAGAUAAGUGCUGAAAGCAUCUAAGCACGAAACUUGCCCCGAGAUGAGUUCUCCCUGACCCUUUAAGGGUCCUGAAGGAACGUUGAAGACGACGACGUUGAUAGGCCGGGUGUGUAAGCGCAGCGAUGCGUUGAGCUAACCGGUACUAAUGAACCGUGAGGCUUAACCUU